AAUGUUCUUCAGGGCGGGGUGUAAGUCCCCACUGGCGGUAAAGUCCGCGACCUGCGAAAGCAGUUGAACCGGUGAAACUCCGGUACCAACAGUAUAGUCUGGAUGGAAGAAGACGAGC
rfam:Oribacterium sinus F0268 genomic scaffold SCAFFOLD2, whole genome shotgun sequence.